ensembl:lncRNA
AAUUGCUCAUUCAGUCACCCAAUCAAACCUAGAACUUGGAUAUCAUCCACAUGACUAUUCCUCACCCGCUAUUACCUGCCAAACUGUCUGAUCUACUCAGUCAUUAAGUUAACUUAUGUUGAUUUGGUUUCCUUAUUACUUUUCCUCUUUUACCCAUUUCUUCUGGUACUGCUGCUUCGUUCAGUUCCUAGUUCGCUCUUUCCCAAACUACUGUGGUAAUCUCCCUUCUGAUUUCAAUGGCAUCUCAUCUCACGUUGAAUGACCUACAAGGUCCUCCGUGAGUCUAAUGUCUCUGCUACCUAAAUUUUCUCAUCCUAAAUUUCAGCGAUGUUGAACUAUUCGCAGGUCUCCACUUCAUGUGAUUUUAUAUCCCAUGCCUUUGAAUAUUCUUCUUUUCUUGGAGUGUCACUCCCACAUAAUUGUAUCUGUCAAACUCAUAUUCCUAUUUUAAGACCCAGCUCAAGCAUCAUUUUCUAGAAAGACUUGCUGGAAGCCCAAAUUGUUGAUCAUUCUCUUCACUGGGUCCCCUCUUUAAUUUGUACAUACUGCAUUAUUAUACUUGGUAGCUGUAUUGCCAUUGUUUGCUUGCAGUCCUGUAUCUCCUCUACAAAUGUAAAUGGCCAAAGGCAGGAACUAUGGCUUUUCAUUUUUUUGUCUUCGGCAUCUAUCACGUUAUCUGGCACACAGCAGAUUCUCAAAGUCGCAACUGCUCUUUCUCUGGAAUGGUUGAAGCAGGGAUGGAGGAGAAGCAAUCACCUUGUGCAGCAAUGGAAAUGGGCCAGAGGAUCUACCACCACAGAACCAUUCUAGAUGUCAAUUCCUGGUAAGAAAUGAUUGGGAGUUAACAGAAGAACCACAGAGAGGUAGAGUUUGCUAUGUUUAUAUUUGCAUUGAAGUUAUUUUAAAAUAUUAGUUUAUCCUCCUGCACAUACUAUUUUUAUUUUAUAGCAUACAUGGAAUCUAUAUGUUUGAUUCUAUAGCGUAAAUUCCUUUCUUCUCAAUCAGCCUUUUUGGCCGCUUUGUUAAAGAUCACAGUGUAGCCACAUGAAGGAAAACCACUCGAAUCUGGGUUAGUCCUAUCCAUGGUGACAGUUAUUACCUGACUGCCAGUGCUGGGAUUGGAUAGAUCAGGUAUAUAUAGCAGCCUGUCUUACAGAAUGGUGUCUGAACAGGACCAUUUCUGGUUCAAUGUAGCCUUCCUUGGUUUUAACCUGUAUCACAUGGGCUUGUCUAAAAGGAACAAUAUCCCUUAAUACUGAAAAUUUUCUAACACAGCAAUUGUCAAAUUAUCAUCGACAUACCCCUGGGGGUCCUGAUUAUCUUUAAAGGGUGUCUGCAAAGUCAGCAUGAUUUACCUAGUAAUCCUGACACGAAUUUGAGCUUUCAAAUGAAAUUAAAGUUUCAGAAAACUUUUAUCCACUACCUGAGAUUGAUAGCUUCUUAAUACUUAGAGAUUUUAUUAUGAAAUUGGGAAUGUUAACUAAUGCAAUUUAAAAAAUAUCAUAUGAUAAAAUGUGUCGAUAUUUGGAACAUCUGUAUAACUCAGUGAAUCAAUAUUGUCCAAAUAGCAAUGCAUGGGGUUACAAAAUUAUGCAUGGAUAAAAGCUCUAUUCAAAGUUCAAGACAGACCAAUGGAUUUUAAGUUAAGAGAGCACAAAAAGUUUAUUGGUCUAGUUUCAUAGUCCACAUCUUUUAAAAAAACAACUUGUUGAAUCUUGGUGUAUCACAGAAGAGUAUCCACAACUACGUUCCUUCCUUUUUCAAACAUAUCUAUGUGUAGCUCCCUUUUCUUCAUGUACUUCAACCAAAAUAUCAUUUUGCAGCAGGUUGAAUGCUGAAAAAUAUAGCAGGAUCCAGCGUUCUUCUGUUAAGCCAGACACUGAAGAGAUUUGCAGAAAUAUAAAACAAUGCAAUUCUUCUCAUUAACAUUUUUUGGAAAUGUAAUUAUUUUUUAUAAAAGUAUGUUAUUUAUGUCAAUAU